ACCCGACUGGCUCAGGUGGUAGAGCAUGCGACUCUUGAUCUCAGGGUCACGAGUUCGAGCCCCAUGUUGGGCA
rnacentral:tRNA from 1 species